UGGGCAUGGAUUAGUCAGGAGCUAGAAAGGGCUUAUAAAAACCUGACAUGAAAAUGCUUUGCUUUGCGUGCAUUUUUAUAGCAUGAGACUACACAUGGAGAGCUGUUAUGCCACUGGCUGCUAAGCAGAAGCAGGGAAAAACCAUGAAAUAUAUUUUGGGAAAAAGAAGGGACUUCAAAGGAGAUGUCCUCCCUGUGCUGAAGAAUGUCUCCUGGCUCUGGGGAAGCUGGACAGGUGCCACUUGCAGACUCUUGUGAUAAUGCUGUUCCAGCCUUUCGUUGUUUGCUUUCCCUUUGUUUUCACUUCAUGUUGCUUUUAGAGCUGGUUCCCCUGUUCCUCCUGCAGGACCCUGGAGCCUUCGUCGGGACCGUCCCUCACCCGCUCUCUGCAGAACUGCUGCUGCCAGCCGUUUCUCCAAAAUUUCCUUUCCAGAAACCAGGGCAGGGAGCGAGGGAAGCCAGUCCUCAAUGACAACAUCAAGGAGAGGUACAGGAGGACUGCGCAUGAAAUACAUUUGUUGCCUGAAGCUGUUGGAGUUUAAAAAAGAGGAUGUCAAUGAGAAAAGGAACAAUGGAAUUGAAAAUCCCUUGGUAAUGACUGCACUCAUACUCCUUGCCCCCAGCCUGUGGAGAAGUUUGGCUGCAGACGCAGAUGCACAUUGUUCACUUGGCAGCGUCACUCCUGCGCCUGGUUCCAUCAACAAUUUUCUCCAACCAUAGAGAGCCUUGGAAAGACAUUCACCAGUGUCUGUGGUGCCUCUGGGGAGCCCCUUGGAAGACAAGAAAAAAAGCCUCAAGAUACUGUAUGUCAGUCUAUCUCUCACUAUAAUUAUCUUUAUUGAUUGGGGAGUCAUUUGCAUUUCCAUAUCUCUGAGUUUCCUGUUAGUGCUACUGUUUAGAUGUGUUCAUGGAUCAGAUUUCAAGAGAUUUCAUCCCAGAAAAAAAGCCUUGUUAUGUAUGAACCAUAUGCAAAUUUCAAAAGAGAGGUGAUGGGGCUUUAUGGCAAGAAAUAGCACCAGGAAUCGUUUCACCUGUGGAAGGAGAAUAGAGGAAGCAGCCAUGUCAGCAAAGCCAUUUUUCACAGCAUCCCCAAUACACAGUAAUGCCCUGCACAGAUUUCCUCUGUUUAGUAGAGCCCAGAAUGUACUCAGAAUAAAGAACAGAAAUGCAUAAGGACACAAAGCCACCAAACCAGAAAUUCUUCUUCCCUGUGGGUUUGCAAUGUGUCCUGGGGGGACAGCUCCUCUGACAGACAGGUGUACAGAAAUAUCUGCUUAACUGGGGUUUGGAAACGGUUGAGAAUGGCUCCUCAGAGCAUGCUCUCCCCUAAAUACUUCCUUCUGCUGGCAGAAAUGCUGUUUGUUGGCUUUCUGGUUACCCCUGGUCUGUAGCUCCACACGUGUUCUGCCACUUGGUGGUGGCAGAACUUAACCCCAGCCCCUCAGAGCCACACAGGACACUGUGGCCCUGGGUCACCUUUCCAGGGAAGGGGCAUUUGCCUCUUUGUUGGUGUACACUGACUGAGUGUGGGGAAGAAAAAGACUGCAGUGGCAAAACUACCUUUUCAUGCUAAAAGGUGUGCAAUGAUGCUGCCUGGAGCAGGAUUUCAGGUGCAGCGUUCACAGUAACCAACUGGUAACUGUUUCCCCUGCAGGAAUUCUGAUUGCAGACUUGCACUGGUUCUCACUGGUGCCCAGCUGGUGGAGAGGCAAGUGGGAAAGAGCAGGAGCGUUCUGCAUCCCACCUGCUGCACCUUCCUGUGUCCUUCAGUGCCAGCACAGCUGGGGCCAGAUGUGACACUGGCACCACAGCAGAGCACUGCUUCACUGCACAGACCGGGAACAUCCCAGUGCCCAGGGCUCAGACCAGCCCAUGUCCCAGCCCAGCAGUCGGGGCUGCAGGUAUUGCUGUGAACAGUCGCUUGCCGCCCUCUAACCACCCUUACACACAGCCUGCUCAGUCCCAUCCUGACUAGAUGCAGGAUCUGUGCUCUAAAAUGGAUGUUUUUCACAUUAAAGAGCUGUGGAAACAUUUUAUUUCCCAUUUGUGGCCCUUUUGCAAACAGCAGAGAAUCCACUCUUUCCUCCAGAAGAUUUGUGUCCAAGGGAGCUCCCAGGCUGACAUAAAGCUGCCCAUACUUUCAAGAGGCCUCUCUGGUAAGCUCUUAUUUCUUGGAUUCCUUCCCAAAAUGAGGCAGAAUCACUUAUGGGAAGCGGUGAACAGGAGUGAUAUGAAGCACUGAGAAAAUCUUCCCGUUUCAGCAGGGGCACGAGUGUCAUGUCUCUACAGAAAUAUCAAUUAUAUUUCCUGUACAGCUAAUGAGAUAGCAGUUGGCAAACACUAGCAGGUAAACAGUCAAACACAGCCUAGCACAUAGUUUGGGCUUUUUGAAUUAAAUUUUCCCAUUAUUAAAGUGUCUCUGAGCACUGCAGCCGCUGGCAUGCUCACAUAAAGAGCCCAUAAUAAUCAAUGGAGUGAAGUGAAAUGCUUGAGGGAGCCCCUUCCUCUCCUAGUCCAUGGCUGAACCAGCCCCAGCACUGCGGUGCUGUGGGGCUCAGCACCUCCCACAGAUCAUCACCACCCAACUGGCCACUGGAGCUGCAAGCAUCAUUCCCCAAGCCCCUUUUAAUCCUGUUUCGGUUCCUCAGUUUUGACUAUCUCAUGUUACUACAUCCAGUUAAACCACCAUUUCACCAGUUUAAAGCACAACGUCCCCACACCAGCACCAUGCCCCACAGCCAGCAGAGGAGAUACUUCAUGUUGUGCCUUGUCUGUUUGCCUCCAGCCACAGGCUGGCAGAUACUCUGUAUGAAUAUAUUCAGGCUAAUUCCAAAAAACUCCAGCAUUUAGACAUCUUUAUCCUGUAGGGGUUACAAAGCUGCACAGUUUUCAGCUGCAUUUCACACAAUCUGCAGGGAAAUGGGGGUCCUCCUUGCACCCAGCCUGCAGUUCUGGGUGCAAGGAGGUGGUUGUUCUGGGUGCAAGUUCUGGGUGCUCUCAGGUGCUGUGGCUUUGACAUGGGAUAAGAGACCCCAGGGCAUCCACAGCAUGUUUUUGGGUAGCACCAGUUACCUGCAAGCAGGGUCCUGCUUUCCAGGUGAGGAAAUGGAGGCACAAGCCCACCAACUUGACUUCUCCAGGAUCACUCCUCCCUCUUAAAGAAAGCAGUUUUCUUCCCCCCAGCACGUGUAUUUUACUUCAUCAGAGCUUCCUUUGCUCAUUUUUACUGCUCUGUUCUUUUUGGUGAAUAUGAGAGCAUAUCUGAUUCAGCAUUAUUAUUAAUCCCAUAUGUAGCUUAUGAAGGGAGGAAAAAGCAGUAAUUACAUGCAGUCAUAAGUUAAAAGAAUUGAAUGUGUGUUUCUUACUUGCCUAAUAUCUGGCAAACGCCUCAUGUUUACUCAGUCAUCUGCCGCUGAUCUGGCUGAAUUGGAAGGUUUUUCUAACCUGCUGUGUGCUCCUUUUGUCCCGGCCAUGGACACGUAGGGGUUUGCGGGAUGCCCUUUGUCUCCCAGCAUUUUCUAUACUCAAAGAGACAGUGGCCAGAGCCAGCACCCACAUGUGCACAUGGGGACACAUGUGCAUUCCCCAGUGCAGCUGGUUUUCCUAACUGACACUGCUAGAAACAGAUUUCAGACUCAGAUCUAAAAAAAAACCCUAACUUCUAUAUGAAAACAAAAGCUAAUGAAAAAACUAAGGAUUUGUCACAGGCUGCUGGGAAAGGGGUGGCUGGUGGGCUGCUGGAGUGGGGUAGAGCAGGAGAAACAGGGAUCAAUCACCAGCAUCAGGUACCACACAGAGAAUCAGAGAGGGGCUUCCAUGCUGUAGGAUGGAAGAAGCAAUGUGAAUGGCUGGAAAAGCCUACAAAAGUUCAGAAUGGCAAAAGGAACUGUCAAAACCAAACAAAUAAACAAAAAUAAAAAGCAAAGCAAAUACCUGAAGGGCAGCACACUACAAAGACACAGAGGGUGAGCAUCUUCAGGAAUGUGAUGGCUCUAGAGGUGACCCAGCAUCACAGUGUGUCAUAGUCCAGCACCUGGCAGGAGAGGGCAAGAACCCCAGAGCCCUACAGCCUGGUCAUGGCUGGGACAGCUGGAUCCCUCCCAAUUUAUUGAUCCCACCAGCAUCUACCUUCCAAAGGCUGCAGGGGGCUGGUUCCUGCAAUCACAGCUGGAGCCCAGCACAGGUGAAGCCUAUCAAAGGGUGAGGCCAUCAGGCAUAUAAGGGCUUUGGGUAAAUUUUGUAGGGUUUGGUCUUGUAGGUAAAGAACAAUUGUGUGGUUUUAGUUCAGGCUUCUUCUGAAACAGAAAGUAAUUCUUGCAUUUUGGGAAAUGCUGGUGUGUGGUUCUGUUAGCAGGGGAUGGUAUACAGCUUGAUCUAAAGAGUGAAGUGUCUGCUCCUUGCUUUUAAGAGCUCCUUUUUGGUGGCUGUUUAAUGAGACCGUUUUGGAAAAGUACUUCUUCAAUGAGAGUAAGGUGCUUUGUCCAGCUGUAGUAAAGGAUGAUUCUGGGUCACAGAACCUGCACACAGAUGCACAAGAGACUGUGGAGGAGCAGUAUGAUGUUAUCACACCACCUCAAAUGUCCAAGAGCUGCGUGUCUGCUGCCUGCUUCAUCCUCUCCAGCGGGUGCCAGUUCUUCAAGUAGUUUUUAUAUGACAGUGCUUCCUAAAAAAUUUAAGAAGCAGAACGCGUGAAGAGUUUGGCUGACGAGGAUGACUAUUUCAUCCAUCAAAUCAGGAUCUUUUAAACACUAAUGCUGAAUUUAUAGAAGUGGUUAAACGAGGUGUUGACUAUAUGGACAAUGUCUUUCUGAUUAACACUGCAAUUUAAAGUGAAACUGCUGGCUGCCAGGAGUUACUACCACAGAGCAGCAUUUUUCCAGAGCCCGUGGGCUGGAGCUCGGUGUGGCAGCAGGAGCAGAUGUCAGCCACCACACACUGUGCUCACCAAGGACUGACUGUGGUCAGGGCUGCUCCCCAGCAGCUUUGCUCUUCCCCCACAGUGAUCAUCUGUACUUUGCUCUGCCCCAUUCAUUGCCCUGGUUGGGUGUGUGUGUUGGUUAUGAGCAGUGAAACCUUUUCCUGCUGCUCCCCAGAGAAAGGGGACAGUGAGGAUGAGCAUCCUUCCCAGCCCCUUGGGAGAUGUUCUCUCCCUGCCUGUUCCACGCAGGGCAGUGUGCUGGCAGCAGCCCCCAGCAUGGACCCGGCUCUGCCACUGUGGUGCUGCUGUGGGUCUGAGGGUGCUGCCAUGGGUUGGACAGUGCUGCUGUGGCUCUGCUGGAGCUGAGCUGCACCCUCCGGGCACAAGCAUCCAGCCCAGCAUGAGCGUGGGUGGGUGGAGGAGCGGGGAGGGGACUGAACAGCCGGUCCCUUUAUCUUUGAAGGACAGCAAAGCAGAUUAAUUUUUUUUUUUUUUUUUUUUUCCCCACCUCUUAAUAUGUGACACAAAAAAGGAGGAGUUGUACAAAGGAAAUGGCAACGGCAACAAAAGGGAGAAGGAGAGAGGGGAGUGCAAGGGGAGCCGAGCCAUCGCUGCGGGAUCUGACAGAGGCAGUGUGAUCACAGUGACAUAAGAAGCAUCACUUCUACCUGAAAUCUCCUUUGAGAGCACUCGCAGGACCAGGAGCUUUGAUUCCCUCCUUUCCUCUGCUCCCCUCAUUAAUCGCCUUUGGUUGCAAUACUGAACUUCUGAAAUUCAACAGCUACUAAAAUAUCAAGUAUUUAGGGCUAGGAAAACCUUGUGGAGUGGGAGGUUUUGCAAAAUGUUUUGGCUUCUCUGAAUUCAGAGCUGCCCUUGGAAUUUGAGAGUUUUCUUCCUCUGGUUUUACAUCUGCUAGGUGUGCUUCUUGUUCAAGGGGGAUUCUGUUUUGGAAAACAAUUAUGUGUCUUCCCCACGAGCAGGGUAGGACUAGAAGAGCCAGGUGAGCCCAGGCAGGCCUGGGACAGCAGGUCACCCAGGCAAACACCACAUUUCCCGGCAGCACAGGCAGCACCCAGCUCACCUGCACAGCAUCCCCAGCAGCUCCAGCACGGCUCCCUGGCACUGCCUCUCCUUCAUGAGAUGUGUCUCUGCGCGAAUUAGAUCAAAAUUAAUCUCCAUUGAACUAUGCUAAUGUAAGUCCCACUGUUUAUCCCCCUGCUGAUUUUCAGCAAGGGCAUUCAGUCAGAAUCUCUCUCACCAGUAUAAACCUCACUUGCAGUGAUGGAGCUGUGGUCACCAGAACACUAAAUCUUGGGUGCCUGAGCUGCUUGGGACUUGCUAAAACCAGGAUCAUCCCAAGGUAAGAUCAGUGAAGGGGAUGAUUUCCAGGCUUGAGAUAAAAUACAAUUGCUUUUAUACUGGCACUCAAAGCUUGAAGUAAAGCCAGGCUGACCCGUGUCUGAGCUCCCUUUUCUCAGCCUCUGCUCAGCCCUCCUGCAGACCUCCUCCUCAGCCAUCCACCCCCAAAACGGCUCAGCCCCUGGCUGGCCUUGUUUAAGAGUCAACUUCAAUAGUACCUUUGUUAAGGGUGAACUCUCAUUAAAUGUGAGGUAAGAGGAAAUGAAAAAGUGUAAAAUAUCCAGAUUUAUUACCUGUUGUCUUCUGAACAUUUGAAAAUCAGGAGCUGGGGCAAGGGGGUGAGUGGUACCAAAGUUGUAAGACUGAGCCCUCCCACCACCGUGUGUGCUGCCGUCUGCUCUGAGGACAUUGCUUGCUCAUAGCGCUGUUUUAUCAAAAGAAAACAAACCAAGUUUUGUGCUUUUUGAGAUAUAAAAGUGAAUUGAUCUUAAUGCAUCAGGCUGCUGGCUCUGAGCUCCAUUACCCUGUGCACAUGCAGGUGGGGAUGUUUAUUUGCUGAAUUCAGAAAUCUUUCUCAGCUCAAAGGGAGAGAUUUUCCAGGAUAGGUACUGCCUGCUUUUUUUUUUCCUGUUUCAAAGGUGAACAGAAAGGCAAACCCACUAAAUUACCGUGUUGGCUUUAUUAACACUACUAAUAAAGGAGAAACCUGUGGGGUCAGAGGCAAGAGAGUGAGACCCUCUGCUCUGGGGCAUCACAUCCAUGGUGCCCCCGACCUGCUUGUUCCCUUUCAGUAUGAAAAAAGGGUUCCAGGGCUAAAAAAAGGCAGAUUGCAGGAAUCAUAAACCCUAAUAAAACAGUUCUGCUCUCUGAACAACUACAGUGACCCUUGUGUGCUGGAUGGAGCACCGUGAGCAGUGCAUCUCCUGGGGCUGAGCGACGCUGUGGGCUGAGCCCCGGCAGCUGCCGGCACGGGGGCUCUGUGCUUGCCCCUGCUUGGAAGGAGCGUGUUCUACCAGGGUGGUGAAAUGCCCAGAUGCCCGAUCUGGGCCCCAUGGGACCCAAGGUUUGCUCACCUAACGCUGUUUGUGUUUGUACGAGCCCUUGCACAUCUGUGAGUGCUCAAUUCUUACGUCGUGCAAAUCCCAGGCAUCCCAUGCUGGGAGCAGCCAGCUGCGAACACUU